AUGUCGUACAUGCUCCCGCACCUGCACAGCGGCUGGCAGGUGGACCAGGCCAUCCUCUCGGAGGAGGACCGCGUGGUCGUCAUCUGCUUCGGCCACGACUGGGACCCUACGUGCAUGAAGAUGGACGAGGUCCUGUACAGCAUCGCCGAGAAGGAACAAGCACGUCAUGAUUGACUUGGGGACUGGCAACAACAACAAGAUUAACUGGGCCAUGGAGGACAAGCAGGAGAUGGUCGACAUCAUAGAGACCGUGUACCGCGGGGCCCGCAAAGGCCGCGGCCUGGUGGUGUCCCCCAAGGACUACUCCACCAAGUACCGCUGCUGAGGUGCCCUCAGUCUGCGCAGAUAAAUGUCGUGGAGCCCUUUUUGUGUGGAAAUGUUUUAAGCUAUUUAAAGCCUUUGGAAAAUACAGGAAGCUCCAGGGCUGGAGGACCUCUGAGAUGGAAUUGAUUACAUGGUCUUAACUCACCGAAAUAAACAAGCACGUGGUGAGAA